UUGUGUGGAAACUGUUUUUUUUUUAAUUUCAGGAAAGUGUUUCAAAAAUUCGGGAUAGCUUUCGAGAAAAUUGAAAUUUUUUUGGCUUGGUUAUGCAGGACAACAACAUGAUGGAAGAUUCAGUAUCUCAUUAGACUGUUUGGUAAAGACUACUAAAUUGAGGACGGCAAGACGAUGGGAGAUUCAAUACCUGAAAUGCUAGCACUGCUUGAGCUCAAGUAUCUGUUUUUUUUUUUGCUUGGUCACACUCAUUAUUUGUUUUGGCCUAAAGGUCUUAAACUAUGUUUUUGAACUUUGAUGUUGACUUGGACAAGUAAGAAGUUUGUAAUGAAUGAUGAAAA